UACGUAGGUGGCAAGCGUUGUCCGGAAUUACUGGGUGUAAAGGGAGCGCAGGCGGGGAGACAAGUCAGCUGUGAAAUGCAUAGGCUUAACCUAUGAAUUGCAGUUGAAACUGUUUUUCUUGAGUGGAGUAGAGGUAGACGGAAUUCCGAGUGUAGCGGUGAAAUGCGUAGAUAUUCGGAGGAACACCAGUGGCGAAGGCGGUCUACUGGGCUCUAACUGACGCUGAGGCUCGAAAGUGUGGGGAGCAAACAGGAUUAGAUACCCCCGUAGU
rnacentral:rRNA from 1 species